rnacentral:lncRNA from 1 species
AAAAAGUGAAAUACAUACCAUGCUACUUAAAGGGUGUAGCCUACCUUUUUUAAAAAAAAUUUAAUUUUUUUUAUAUUUUUUUAAAAACUGAGUAUAGCCGUGCGGCUAUACUUUUUUUUUAAUAAAAAGGCGCCACGUGUCUGCUUUUAAAAAAUAACACAGAGUAUAGCCGUGCGGCUGUACUUUUUUUGGGUUUAAAAAAAAAGAGCUUCCAGCGAGUAGGCGCCACGUGUCCCGAAAAAGUAUAGCCGGCCGGCUAUACUAUUUUUCAAAAAGAAAAAUAUAGUACAGCCGCGCGGCUAUACUAUGUAAAUAUAGUAUUUAAUAAGGAUAAGAUAUUACUUAAAGGGUGUAGCCUACCUUUUUUAAAAAAAAUUUAAUUUUUUUCAUAUUUUUUUAAAAACUGAGUAUAGCCGUGCGGCUAUACUAUUUUUUUUAAUAAAAAGGCGCCACGUGUCUGCUUUUAAAAAAUAACACAGAGUAUAGCCGUGCGGCUGUAUUUUUUUUGGUUUAAAAAAAAAGAGCUUCCAGCGAGUAGGCGCCACGUGUCCCGAAGCAGUAUAGCCGCCCGGCUAUACUAUUUUUCAAAAAGAAAAAUAUAGUACAGCCGCUCGGCUAUACUAUGUAAAUAUAGUAUUUAAUAAGGAUAAGAUAUUACUUAAAGGGUGUAGCCUACCUUUUUUAAAAAAAAUUUAAUUUUUUUCAUAUUUUUUUAAAAACUGAGUAUAGCCGUGCGGCUAUACUAUUUUUUUAAUAAAAAGGCGCCACGUGUCUGCUUUUAAAAAAUAACACAGAGUAUAGCCGUGCGGCUGUACUGUUUUUGGUUUAAAAAAAAAGAGCUUCCAGCGAGUAGGCGCCACGUGUCCCGAAAACGUAUAGCCGGCCGGCUAUACUAUUUUUCAAAAAGAAAAAUAUAGUACAGCCGUGCGGCUAUACUAUGUAAAUAUAGUAUUUAAUAAGGAUAAGAUAUUACUUAAUUACAUAUAUAAAAUUAAGGAAGUUGGCCAAAAGAAAAAGUAAAGAAACUAAUUUUAUAUUCUUAAAAUUUAUACUUUUCAAAAAAAAAAAAAAAAAAAACACAUGAACACUUCUCCCGACGAAAUUUCGUCGGCAAAGAUCUAUGCCGACAAAAUUUGCCGCAUUAGGUUUCCCCCGACGAAAAUGUCUUUGCCGACGAAAUUUUGUCGGGAGAGGUCUUAUUUUUAAAAAAUAAAUAUAAACUUAGGAUGUUUAGGUUAAUUAAUUUUUAAAAAUUUUAUUUUUAGUAACUACAUAAUGGGCAAUGGAGAUUUAAUUAGUUGAAUUAGCAUUUAUUUUUUAAUUAUUUUUUAUUUAAUGACUGAUUGUGAUUAAAUAUUUUAAUUAACUUAAUGAAUAGUAAUUCAAUUUCUCUUUUUCUUUUUUCUCCUUUAAUAUUCACUAAGUUAAUUACUAAUCAAAGUAAUUAAAAAAGUGAAAUACAUACCAUGCUACUUAAAGGGUGUAGCCUACCUUUUUUUUAAAAAAUUUAAUUUUUUUUAUAUUUUUUUAAAAACUGAGUAUAGCCGUGCGGCUAUACUAUUUUUUUUAAUAAAAAGGCGCCGCGUGUCUGCUUUUAAAAAAUAACACAGAGUAUAGCCGUGCGGCUGUACUUUUUUUGGUUUAAAAAAAAAGAGCUUCCAGCGAGUAGGCGCCACGUGUCCCGAAAAAGUAUAGCCGGCCGGCUAUACUAUUUUUCAAAAAGAAAAAUAUAGUACAGCCGCGCGGCUAUACUAUGUAAAUAUAGUAUUUAAUAAGGAUAAGAUAUUACUUAAUUACAUAUAUUAAAUUAAGGAAGUUGGCCAAAAGAAAAAGUAAAGAAACUAAUUUUAUAUUCUUAAAAUUUAUACUUUUCAAAAAAAAAAAAAAAAAAAAACACAUGAACACUUCUCCCGACGAAAUUUCGUCGGCAAAGAUCUAUUCCGACAAAAUUUGCCGGAUUAGGUUUCCCCCGACGAAAAUGUCUUUGC